rnacentral:lncRNA from 1 species
AUCUAGCCUCCUCUUAGCUAGAGUGGCUCAGCUGGGGCAGCCGUGCUCUAUGUGUCUCUCAGCCUCCUCGUGGGGCCAGCAGGCUAGCCAAGGCGUAUUCUCAAGGUGAUGGCAGAGACACAGGAGGGCAAAAGGGAGCACACCAAGACCUGCCAAGACCUACCCUUGGAAUUGGCUCACUGUCACCUCCACUUCUUCUUACUGGCCAAAGUAAGUCACAUGGCUAAGCUAAAAGUCAAUGGAGUGUGGAAAUAUACUGUGCUGUUAUGGAAGAAACUUCAAAGUCACAUGACACAGUUGAAACUACAAGGAGAGGUAAAGAACUGGAACCAGUGAUGCAAUCUGCCGUCAUCACGCUCCCCAUCAGCUUCUUCAUGGGGCUUGCCACGCUUAAAAUCAUGUUACAAUAUAUGCAUUUAUUUGAUCGGUGUUUUAUUCUCCUACUAGACAGUAAACUCCACAAGGGCAAAGAACAAGUCAGAGUCAUUCAUUUCUGCAUCUAACAUGGUGCCUAACACAGUGCUGGGCAUACAGUAGGUGCUCAAUAUUUGUUGAUUGAAUGAAGGUGUGGCAGGAACAUCAGUGGGAGGUGUUCACAGGGAGGAGAAGUAAUUUCUGAAUGAAUCGAGCAAGGCAAGCUUCUUGGAGGAAGUCUUCACUGUGAGUUAAGAAUUAAAUGCAGGGGCCGGCCCCGUGGCUGAGUGGUUAAGUUCUCGCGCUCCACUUUGGCGGCCCAGGGUUUCACCGGUUCGGAGCCUGGGUGCAGACAUGGCACCACUCAUCAAGCCAUGCUGAGGUGGCAUCCACAUGCCACAACCAGAAGGACCCACAACUAAAAAUACACAACUAUGUACCGGGGGGAUUUGGGGAGAAAAAGGGGAAAAAAUCUUAAAAAACCAAAAAUUAGAAAUCAUGUUAGAUGCAAAAAUACCUUUUAAAAAAAAAAGAAAAAAGAAUUAAAUGCGUUUCUCUCUGGCUCGCUUCUCCUCCCUUUGCCUGGUUUUGAAGCAGAGAUUGGACUUUCAAUUUCUUCUUUCCGAGAGCAGAGGGCUCUCUGCUUCCCCACCGCACUCCCUCUGUUGGUGGAGGUGAGGCUGUGGGGAGGGUCCGGAUGCACAGCUGGCAAUGCCCUGGGCUGGAGCCAUGAAACCUCUGGGUUCCAGCACUAGACUUCCCAUUCACACGCGCUCCGCUUGCCUCGUUGCCUUCAGCAUCCCAACCCUGCAAUCCUUCUUCCACGUGUGUCUAAAGCCUAGACAUGGCUGACAGCGUUCUUGGAAUGGAGCCUCUGCCUCCCACUUCAGCCCCAUCUCCUGCUCUGUGCCCUGCCUUUCACCGCCUAAGCUCCAGCGGUACUGUAUCAUCUUCAAUUUCUAG